ensembl:lncRNA
ACCUUCCUUUUCAACUUUUUUGGAAAGGAAAGAAAAAGGUGCUGUGGUCUCUUCUUUUUUUUCCAGAGCUCUAUCAACUUCUGCCAAGAUGGUUUACAAAGGUUUUAAAAUGUCUGUUGUGUAAAAAGAUCUUCUCCCACUCACCAGCACACUUUCAGUGCUCCCUCCCAGUGCCAAGCAGUAUGAAGCCGUAACCGGGACGACAGUCUGUCUGGACACAUCGAGGCGCGCCCCCACGACUGCCGCCAGGACCCCUGUUACAGGGUCCACUGUCAGGCCCCCGAAACGAAUCGCAACCAGUCCUGUCCAAUAGCAUAGCACAGAAAUACUGAAUCGCAAAGUAUGUAUGGUCCAGAAAAGUAGGCAUCCAUCCACUUAUCCAUCCAUUUAGACAUUCAUCCAUCCACUUUACAAUCCAUUUAGACAUUCAUCCAUCCACUUUACAAUCCAUUUAGACACUUAUCCAUCCAUUAAGACAUUCAUCCAUCCACUUUACAAUCCAUUUAGACAUUCAUCCAUCCACUUUACAAUCCAUUUAAAAACGUAUCCAUCCAUUUAGACAUUCAUCCAUCCACUUUAAAAUCCAUUUAGACAUUCAUCCAUCCACUUUACAAUCCAUUUAGACACUUAUCCAUCAAUUUAAACAUUCAUCCAUCCACUUUACAAUCCAUUUAAAAACGUAUCCAUCCAUUUAGACAUUCAUCCAUCCACUUUACAAUCCAUUUAGACAUUCAUCCAUCCACUUUACAAUCCAUUUAGACAUUCAUCCAUCUACCGUCACCUUUGCCGUCUGCAUCCUCCAUGGUUCCUGCGAGAGGGACAGUGAGUCCUGACACAGGGUCCAUCUGAGAUCCCAGGACUGGAACCAUCAGGCCAGAACCCUGUGGGUCAGGAUACUCCAUACCAGGCAGCGCCGGCAAGGAAAGAUCAGUACCGGGAAGAUGGAUCUCUCCUAAUGUGAUACAAAACAGAGCGCCUAAACGUAAUGUUCCCCCCACAAAAGAUCCCCCAAAAAUACAAAGUACCAGCAAAGCACCAUUCGAAUGGCUAACCUUGGACACCGCCAUCCUGGGAGACGACACAUGCCCAGCCCAGCAAGGUCUCCAGACGGCACAGGAGCUGCAGCCGGCAGUGCACCGCUUUCCCCCAGGCCUGCUCCAGCUCGCGGGCUGCAGCCUGGAUCCGACCCUGCCGACCCAUCUCCCCGGAGCCCGGGUUCUCCCUGACCACACGUAGGACGUCCACCAGGCGGCGACGGGCCACCAGAGUCUGGCCAUCCAGUAGGGCCUGGAACCCGCCAGAAUGAGGCACCAGCUUGCCGGCUUGGACGCUGCCGCCGGCCACCCUGACCGGCCUGCCGCUCAGGGGCUCGACAAUGGCCUCGCCUAGGAGGAGACCGCCCACUGGAAGCACAGCUCCUGGAGGUAGGGAGAUGACAUGAUGUGUAGGGCUAGGAGUAUUUUCAGGGUUCAGAACAAGUGUUAAGAUAAAACAUCCUGGUCCUAAUAAUAAUUGAACCAACAGUAAAGAGAUUUUUUUUUUGUUGCUACUGCAAGGGAUGCAUCCUAAAUAUUCUACUUUGCGGCGCGAUGAGCAGCGUUGUCUUUGCACCAUCGACACCUGAAAUUAGAGUUGGAUUGGAUAGUUAACGACAACCGGUACUUAAGGGUUUUUUCUUUUGCCCUUUUCUUCCUUUUCCACCCUGUACCAGGAUGGCCUUCACACUGCACCCAAUGAGCUGUACAGAGCCGUUAGUACGCAAAAAAAGAAAUGCACAUUCAGAAGGGUAUAUAAGACCCAUCCCCUCCCUUCUGUUGAAAGGAGGCCACAGAGGUCCCUAUUCCUCCGC